AUGCUCACUUCAGUAGCACAUACACUAAGAUUAGAACAAUACAGAGAAGAUUAGCAUGGUUCCUCCGCAAAGAUGACAUGCACAUUUAGGAAGUGUUCUAUAUUUUU